rfam:Lepisosteus oculatus linkage group LG5, whole genome shotgun sequence.
GCCAGCAGCCAUGUCACCCUGCAACUUACAAUUGGCAGUCCACUGAAGCUAAGCAGGUGUGAGCCUGGUCAGUACCUGGAUGGGAGACCUACUGGGAAAAACUAAUGUUGCUGCUGGAA